UACGAAGGGGGCUAGCGUUGCUCGGAAUCACUGGGCGUAAAGGGCGCGUAGGCGGCCUGAUCAGUCGGGGGUGAAAGCCUGUGGCUCAACCACAGAAUGGCCUUCGAUACUGUCGGGCUUGAGACCGGAAGAGGUAAGUGGAACUGCGAAGUGUAGAGGUGAAAUUCGUAGAUAUUCGCGAAGGAACACCCAGUGGCGAAGGCGGCUUA
rnacentral:rRNA from 1 species